GCACAUGUGCUCAAUUAUUUGCAGUUAGGUCCUGGCUCUCCAAACUGGCACAUGAACAAACAGGGCUCCUGUUCUUUAGGGCACAGGAAAACUUUAUAGAGUUGAAAGCAAAGCAUGUAAAUGAUGGGGCCCCAGAUUUGAGAAAUUACAGGCUUGGACAUCUACAGGAGCCAUUUUGAAGAUAAAUAGAAGAGAGGAGGAGCUUGUUUGUGUCUUCAUCUCUGUGGACUAAGUAGGGACAGCCAGAUUGCCCCAGGUGGGGAGAAGGUGUGUCCACGCUUGUGAUGUAAUGUGACUUUCUUCAAUGCCGUGUGACUUAGUCCAUAGAAUCUAAGUAGGAAAGCAGAUGAAGUAGGGGGAAAAAAUGAGGAAAGCUUGCAGUUGAGUUAUACAUUGCCUUGGAGAGAUUGCAUAUCACUUGAGCACAAUUUACUCUCAUUCCACUGGCCAAGCAAGCCACAUGGCCACACCCAGCCUCAAGGGGACGUGGGGAUAUGCACUUCUCAAUGUACCUAUAAGUGAGCCUGUGGGUGGUAGUUAAUCCCUGAAUCCUAACUCAGGCAUUCUUUUCUAUCCUGAACCGAGUUUUAAAAAGUCAUGUGGAAUAGAAAGGAAAAAAAAAAAGUAUUUCUGCACUUCAUCUCAAUAACCGUUUCGUUUCUGAUCUGGAGUUGAAUAACAAAUGUUUACAAUAGAAAGUUAACACUGCCUCCAUAAAGGACUCAGAUUUGAGAUCUGUGGAAAGAAUAUAUUUGUUUGAGAAGAAUUUACUAACACAAUGCCUCCAAUUAGUCAGGAAUAGACCCUAUGAGAAAGCACACUGGUGACGACACACCUUAAGUUAGUUGUGGUCGAGUGAAAAACGAAAAUGUUCAAGCUAUAGUUGUCACAGUAAGAUGUAUGUCCACAGAACCCACAGUCGGAGUUUCUGAGGCAUGUUUAGCAUGCAAAAUUGCAUGAGGUUUAAAGCUAACUUACUCUGUAAGACAAGUACUUUAAUACUUGUUGCUCACUUUCAGACCAUCGGCGAACCCCUUUAAAAGGCCAAGGUGUGGUGUUUGUGUGGAUAACAAGUAAUAUUGGAAGUGAUACUGAAAAUUGGAAUGACACAGAGGAAAUUAGCAUGGGCCCUGUGCAAGGAUAACACACAAACUUGCAAAGCGUUUAAUAUUUUGGGGCAAGAUAAAAAAUGUUCUGCGGAUGGGUGGUGGUGAUGGUUGCACAUCAAUGAGAAUCAACUUAAUCCCACUUAACAGUACACAUAAAAAUGGUUAAGAUAGUAAAUUUUAUGUUUUAUAUAUUUUACCAUAAUAAAAAAAUGUAAAAUAUCUCAUUCAUUUUUAUGUUGUUCACAUUGAACUGAAAAUAUUUUGGAUAUGUUCAUUAAAUAAAAUAUAUUAUUGGCAUUUUUAAAAGCCAGCAUGUUGCCUAAACACAACUGGGGCAGACGUCUACUGUUGCUGUCACAGGCAGUACUUUACAAUAUUUAUUUAUAUCUAUUUAAAGGGCAGAUGAUAACUAGCCAAUAAUAAUACAUUUUAUUUUGAACACCAAAUGCAUGGUGAGCACAGGACUAAUAAUUGCAGAUGUAGUAACACAUUUAUGUCUUGCAAAAACAUCGACAGGGUUAUUAUCUCCAUUUUACAGAUGACGAAACACAGUCCUUAUGAAGUUGACUGGCCAGGCAUGGUGGCUCACGCCUGUAAUCCCAGCACUUUGGGAGGCCGAGGCGGGCGGAUCAUUUGAGUUCAGGAGUUUGAAAUCAGCCUGACCAACAUGGUGAAACUCUGUCUCUAGUAAAAAUACAAAAAUAAGCCGGGCGUGGUGGUGGGCAUCUGUAAUCCCAGCUACUCGGGAGGCUGAGGCAAGAGAAUUGCUUGAGCUCAGGAGGCGGAGGUUGCCGUGAACAGAGAUCACACCACUGCACUCCAGCCUGGGCGACAGAGUGAGACUCCAUCUCAAAAAAAAAAAAAAAAAAAAAAAAAAAAAAAAAGGAAAGAAAUUGACUGAUUCAAGGUCACAUGGCUGAUAAAGGCCAGGAAACAAACUCAGGCCAGUUGGCUCCAAAACCUGCCGGGUAAGUCGAGGCUACCCAUAGAAACAGGAGGAAAUGGCAGCCAUGAACUCAGGGCCUUGGGCAGGGGCUAGUAUGGUGGCUGGAUCAGCCAGGGCAUGACAAAGCUGAAGUCCCAGAAGAUGUGCAUCUGCCUGAGCCAGGCUUUGUUACAAAGGCGGGCAUCCCAGCUAUAUUGUCAGGAAUGGAGGACAGA
rnacentral:lncRNA from 10 species